rnacentral:tRNA from 1 species
GGAGAGGUGGCAGAGUGGUCUAAUGCAUCUGACUUGAAAUCAGACGAAGUCGAAAUUCCGUGGGUUCAAAUCCCACUCUCUCCU